AUUUAUUUUAUUAUAAGAAAUUUUCUUUGUAAAUGAAAUUAUAAGGUUAACCUAUGAGAUUAUAUUAUUUGGGUUUAGGGGUGAGAGAGGAGUGUUAAUAUUGUUUUAUUUUGUUUGGGUAUUUUUGUCUUCUUUUAGUAUGUUUUGAUUUUCAUUUUUUGGUAGUUUUUUGUUUUGUUUUGCUUUUGAUUUUUGAGUGGGGGAUGUCAAGACAGGGUUUCUGUGUGGCCUUGGCUAGCCUUACUAUGUGAGACCAGGCUGACUUCUAACUCAGAUCUACACCAGCAUCUGCCUCCUGAGUGCUGGGAUUCAAGGUGUGCUACACCACUGCCAGUGGCUCAUUGACUCUUCCUGCUGCCUGUGGAUCCAGAUGUAGAACCCUCAAAUACUCCAGCACCAUGUUGCCUGCAUGCUGCCAUGCUCCCUACUGUGAUGACAAUGGACUAAACCUCUGAAACGGAUCACAUGGUGGCUCCGUAGAGAAGAGAGCAGGAGGAAGAGAGGAGGAGCAAGAGGACGACUUCCUGUUUGUCCCUGCUUAUAUAUGAGUCUGCCUGCUCUGUCACUUCCUGCCUCUAUCACAAGACUUCUUCUUACUACAUUUCCCAGAAUCCUCUUUGACUCCUAGUCCCGCCUAACUUGCUGCCUCAUUAGCCAAACAGUGCUUUAUUCAACAAUCAAUAAGAUAAACAUACACAGAAGGACAUUCACCAUCAGGGAUUAAAGGCGUGCUCCACCACUGGCUCACUCCAACCUCUUUUGCUUUAGUUGAUUCAGUUCCCACACCCCAGAGUUUGUCUAGUUAGGAGAUUAAGGAGAAACAGAGAGUAUUGCGUGAUAAGGGAAACCUGUCAUGGGUAACUCAAGAGCUCCCCAUUGGGAGAACUCCCUCCAAAAGAGCUAGUUACUAGAAGUAGGGAGGGACAGAUUGUCUAAACUAAGUAGGAAGUUCAUGAAACUUUUGCAAUAGCCACUGGCCAGGAGUUUCAAGAGAGACUUUUCACACAUAACCCUACAUAUAUGACUUCAAUAUGCCCAUAUGACCAUAUGCCAGCCCUUUAAACCCACUGUCCAUCUUAUCCUCUAUUCAGCUUGUAUUUGUAAUACCAAAUGUGUAGCCAUAAGUCACAUGUAGCUACUGAGCUCUUGAAAUGAUUACUUGAGAAGCAGAGGAACAAAAUCUUAAACAUCACUUAAUUUGUGUUUAGUUGAACUUUGAUUUUAAAACUUAAGUGCUGUAAAAUGAAUGAGAAUACUUGAGAAAUCUCUGUUCUUAUUGAAAAAUGGAGAGGUGAUUCCCAGUACCCCUUUGAACAUGAUGUUAAUAACACUGGACAAAGAAUCAAUGAAUUUAUUGAACUUGUAGGUGUGUGGCUUUGAAAUGAAUAUUGUACCAGGCUUUUUUUGGGGGUUUGGGGCACCAACCAGCUCCCAAAUCAUGACAUGGAGACUUAUUAUUAGUUAUGGAUGCUCAGCCUUAGCUCUUAUUUCUUGCUAGCUCUUUUAACUUAAAUUAUCUUGUUUUUCUUUAUCUACAUUUUUGCCUUGGGACUUUUUACCUUUCCCUCCUCUAUAACUUACUUUUCCUGCUUCUUCCAUGUCUGUUUGCCUGGCAGCUGCCUGCCUAACUAACCCCGGAUGUCUCUUUCUCUUUCUUAUGAAAGACCCCUGCCCCUUAGCCCUUUCUUUCUCAAGUUUGUCUCCUCUUCCUCCUGUCGGCGGCUUCCCCGAUCCCCACCCCCGGCGGCUUCCACUUCCCCCGCCACCCGCCGCGCCCAGCCCGAGAACGAGCACCAGGUGGGCCGGCACGAGAACAAACACCAAGUGAGCCGGCCUGGAGCCCUGCCCCUGAGCCCCCGCCCGAUGAGAAACACUCCGUCCCAAGGUCUCCGCCCCCAAGGUCAGCCAUCUGGACACGGAGGGAGGGGGAAUUGAGUCUGUUGUACCAGACACCAGACCUUGAGAAUAUGCUGAUCUGGAAUGGCUCUGUGUCUCAUUUGAACCAUCCAAUAGAAAUGAUUCUGUAUUUCGCCUCAUUUGAAAGACUCUAUGUUUCACCUCAUUUGAAUAACUCUGUACUUUGCCUCAUUUGAAUAACCCUGUAUAGCGCCUCAUAUACAUUGACCAAUGGGAAUAGCUCUGUACAAUGCCUCAUUAGAAUUAUCCAAUCGAAUCCCUGCUCCUAGCUUGCGCCUUUUUCCCUAUAUAAGGACCCCUCUCCCUUGGCUCGGGGCGCUUGGCCUCACAGAAGCUAAGUCGCCCGGGUACCCGUAUCUCCAAUAAAG
ensembl:lncRNA